rnacentral:rRNA from 1 species
GAUGAACGCUGGCGGCGUGCCUAAUACAUGCAAGUCGAGCGAAUGGAUUAAGAGCUUGCUCUUAUGAAGUUAGCGGCGGACGGGUGAGUAACACGUGGGUAACCUGCCCAUAAGACUGGGAUAACUCCGGGAAACCGGGGCUAAUACCGGAUAACAUUUUGAACCGCAUGGUUCGAAAUCGAAAGGCGGCUUCGGCUGUCACUUAUGGAUGGCACCUCGUCGCAUUAGCUAGUUGGUGAGGUAACGGCUCACCAAGGCAACGAUGCGUAGCCGACCUGAGAGGGUGAUCGGCCACACUGGGACUGAGACACGGCCCAGACUCCUACGGGAGGCAGCAGUAGGGAAUCUUCCGCAAUGGACGAAAGUCUGACGGAGCAACGCCGCGUGAGUGAUGAAGGCUUUCGGGUCGUAAAACUCUGUUGUUAGGGAAGAACAAGUGCUAGUUGAAUAAGCUGACACCUUGACGGUACCUAACCAGAAAGCCACGGCUAACUACGUGCCAGCCGCCGCUGUAA